rnacentral:rRNA from 1 species
GACGAACGCUGGCGGCGUGCUUAACACAUGCAAGUCGAACGGAAAGGCCCUGCUUUUGUGGGGUGCUCGAUUGGCGAACGGGUGAGUAACACGUGAGUAACCUGCCCUUGACUUUGGGAUAACUUCAGGAAACUGGGGCUAAUACCGCAUAUGAUCUCCUGCUGCAUGUUGGGGGUUGGAAAGUUUCGGCGGUUGGGGAUGGACUCGCGGCUUAUCAGCUUGUUUGUGGGGUAGUGGCUUACCAAGGCUUUGACGGGUAGCCGGCCUGAGAGGGUGACCGGCGACAUUGGUACUGAGAUACGGACCAGAAUCCUACGGUAGGCAGCAGUGGGGAAUAUUGCACAAUGGGCGGAAGCCUGAUGCAGCAACGCCGCGUGCGGGAUGACGGCCUUCGGGUUGUAAACCGCUUUCGACUGUGACGAAGCGUGAGUGACGGUAAUGGGUAAAGAAGCACCGGCUAACUACGUG